rnacentral:lncRNA from 1 species
AAUAUAAACUAAAAUUACCUGAUGCUUCUUCGAUUCUUGCGAUGUUUAAGAGUGACAAACAGUUUUACAACAAAAGCCAAUGGAAAAAUAACAUUUCUCAAUAUGUUAUUGAAAUACUACAUUCUGCAGAUAAACUGGCUGCAUGUCGUGAUGCAGAACUUCGUAUUAUAAUAAGGUAUAUGAAACAAGCAAUCAGAUUAAAAUAAAAGGAGAGCGAAAACAAACGAACGAAGCUAACAAAGCUAUCUCAUUUAAUUGGAUUACAAGUCAAUUUUGACAAUAUGAAACAACAAAACAAACGCAAAGUGUCCGUUGUCAAGAAAAUGUCAGAAUUAGCAUCAUUUGCGAUAGGCAAGGCCAUUCGAAAGUCGAAUUUAAAUAUCAUAUAUGCUGAAUAUUUAUGGCCACAAGAAAUUGACAAUUGGCAAAAGAACUAUCCAACACAGUUUGAAUUCCCUAAACUUUAGGAACCAAAAUCUACUGAAAAUGUAAAAUGCAGUGAAGCUAAUAUAGAUUGUUCAGCGAAAAGUAACACAAAGACCGCCUGUGUUUCAGAUGAUAAUGAGGAUACAUGCUUAGAAUCCCAGAUGUAUUUCAAAAUAAUAUAUUGGCCUCUACUAGUAUAUAUAGCGAAGAGGACGAUCUAACUAUCAAGGAAUGGUUCUACUGCGCAACUUUCAGUAAAUCAAGAUUACAAUACGAAGUUGUAUCGACUCCUCACAUCUAUUGGCGAGAACUAGGAGAAAAUGCUGCAAAGGGGGUUUGGACGGAAUAUCAAAUAAGGCUUGGCGAGAAGUUGCAAAAUCAAACAAAACCUCACUAUCACUAGCAAUGAUUGAUUGCAUAGUGGAGCACAUGUCAGUGUCUAUGGCCGUAACGCAUUUCAGUGAGGAAGUUGAAAAAGAAAUGCGGGAGCUAGGAUACGUCAGAGAAGCUGAUAUUUGCAGAGAUAUUAGAAUGUGGUAGCAAGCGGAAGACGAGCCAGGGAUUUCUGCAAAGCGACGUAUACAAAUGAGAAUGCGUUUACGUCAAAGGCUGUUACUGCAUGUUACGUUUUCACACUUCCCACCUCCUACAAUGUAUAUAAAGGGGUGGCCAUUUUAGCUGUGGGAAGCUAUCAUAGCUAAUAUUGAUGCUAAAAUGUUAUUGUAUUACCUCAACCAGAAAAAGACCUACAACGUAAGAGCUUUCUCGAGCAUGCUCGGAGAAACAUUUUUCUUCGAGCUAACUUUGUAUGACUGAAGCGGCCAAGGAACUGUGACUACCCAAGAGUUUGGACAUUUUAUAAAUACAUCCAUAGAGAAGCUACACAUACGCCUAGACGCUAAGAGAACAUUUGCGUACAGAACAGCAAGAAAGCCUGUUUAUAAACUGGUCGAUAAAUCUGAGGACAAUGAAAAUUUGGAUGUUGAGGACACACUUGAAGAUGUUAUACGGGAACAUCCAUUCGAUAAUCCCGGAAGGGACAGACUCAAAACCAAGAGGCACGACUUCAUCAAGACAGAUAGGAAUGCUGUUCAAAGAGGAAACCUCGGGGUCAGAUGGGAGAAAGCCCGUAGAAAUGAGAGCAAAUUAUUACCAACAUUUAGAUUAGGAAAGUUUGAAGUAAAAUAAAGAAGUAAUGUUCGAUGAGUAUACCCUAUAUAUAUAUUGGGUUCAUAUAGAGUUGCUCUCCGUCCAUACGAAAGGGUCACUUAACCUCAUACCAAUGUUUAUUGGGAUGAGAAGUUGUGCACAUUGGUUUACAUUUUUAUUUAAACCAGUAAUACUGGAGCUAUGGGUUUUGACUAAGUGAAACAUUAUGUACGUAUAUACGAACGAAAAGUGACAACUAUGGCAACCGACCAUCAAGUUAUAGUGAAUAUUGCUCUAAUUUUACUGCUUGGGUGAAAAUUGGCCCACUAGGGAUUCUUGAUUAUGUUUACCUAGUUGUAUUUUGAAUGCAUUUUGGAUAACGGUAAAUACUGUCAGAAUAGCGGUGAGGCAUUCGUGUUUCGUUUCGAGCUAUAUGUUUUUCUCUCAUGUAUGUUUUACUUUUAUCCGCUCAGACGGACUAUUGCUAUUUAGACAUUGUUGUUACUAUAGAGAACAUUCACAAUGAUAAAACUUCGUAAGAGCAUUCCAAUGAAUGUCUUUAAACAAAGACAACACUCCGCAAAAGAGAGACAUAGUUUUAACAUUGCUGUCUGUCAUGAUAUUUGUCUUGACCGUCAUAAUACUGGACAGGUAUAUGCAGUGUAGGUGUGCAUAGUUUUUUUUUUUGACACAAUCUUUUAGAUCAGAAGUUUAAAGUUCAAAGUCACAUUGCCUAGAAAUGGAAAACCUUGACAAUGCUUUAUCUCUAAAACCCUGGCUGAAAUUUCAUUAAAUAAGGAAUAAACGUAUGUCGCCAUUUUGAAGGUCAAUAGGUCAAGUUAAUAAUUUGAGUGUUUCAGCAUCAAACGCUGUUCUUUGAUUUUCCCUUAACUUUACAUGUUGAAUUAGUAUAAAGAAGUAGCUAGGUCAAAGUUCAAAUUUUCUAUUUUAACAGAUACAUCCAACACUUGAAACACUAUGUGGGCCAUCUUUUAAACGUAUGUAGGGAUAUAAGAUGACAAUAUAAGCCUUGGUCAUUGAUACGGCAAUGUUAAAACACUCUUUCUGUGUUGUUCAAGCAAACAUUGUAUUUGUUCACACAUUCCUAUUCUAGUGAACCUUCUGGUGUAUAUUUUCUGUAUCGUUGUGAUUCUACAAAUACGAAAACAAUUUCUCUGUUUCUUUUACAUUUAUAAGUACUAAUUGUAUAAUUCUAUAUUCAUACCAAAAUGAACAAAAUCAACGAGAUCAUAAAUAAUCACAGUCAAAGAAUCACAAACAUGAAAAUAUUAUUAUAAAAAUAACGUAUAAAGUCCCUACUUGGGUCGUAAAACUACUCAUUCUAAGAACAAUCGUUUAUGUCUUAACUCUCUGUACAUUGCUGUUUGUCUUCCAAGACACUUAAUGGCAACUCAAACGAUACUUAUAGUAUAUUUUGACUAGAACACUGCAAAAAUAAUCUCCUUAAAUGUACUUGUAUGUGCAAAUACAUGUAAUCUCAGAAAAGUGAAUUUUAACAAACAAUAAUAAUAUUGUUAUUGCUCAAUGACAAAUUGCAUCUGAAUAGAAAGCAUGAACUGAGGAUAACGUGCAAGUCACACUUCAAUACAUUAUUAUUGACUAUACAACAGUUGUAGUUCAUGCAAAGGUUUACCUACAUGUGUUGAUAAAAUAAGUCUUCCGUUUUAUUAUGCUCCCUGAAGGGCUAGCAUAUAGUUGCCGCGUUGUCCGUUCUUCCGUCCGUCAGUCACACUUGUCUGGAGCAAGACUUGAAAAGUAUUAAAGGCAAGUGAUUGAAACUUCAUAUAAAAAGGGAGUGCAGUGUCAUAGAACCAAAUCGCUACCUUACCUUGUUUUGAUUUAUCUUCCUUUAUCAUUCAAAAUUAUGCUUGUCCGAAGUAUAACUCUAAAAUUAUAAAAGACAUUUGAUUUAGACUUCAUAUAGUGAUAAAGGUCAUGUAGGAAGUACGGUGUAAAAGGACCAAAAGAUCUACUUUACCUAUUUUUAAAUAAUAUCCCUUUGUAAUACAAAAAUGUUUUUCUGGAACAUAAUUUGAGAAAUAUUAAAGACAUUUAAAUGUAACGUAACAGAAUGAUCAAAUAUAUCAAGUUGAAAGUUAAUGUCAAGCACGUGCUUCUGUUUUACCGAUUCCUUGUAAACAAAGCUCAAACAAUCGUCUGUGAGUUGUGUCUCACUUUACAAGUUGUCGAUAUUUUGACCUUUGUUCACAAACGGAAACCCAUAUUAUCAACAGUGAAAUGUUAGGCUCUGUCCAUAUACAAUAAAACAGCGGUAAGAUUCCACAUAUUUAACGUCUUCUGUAUGUAAACAAAGGUCAAAAUAUUGUCCGUAAACUAUACAUAAAAAAUCAAUGCUUGUUAAAGAGUUCGAACGAGUGAUACAUUGUGCAACUAAAAUCUUGGACAAAACAGUUGAAAACUCUUGAAACUGGCUUUUUGUAGGACUAAAAUUGGUGUUGUGGGACUAAACUUUAGACACACAACUACCAUUCAUUCCGUAUCAAAGCCACACAAUGUAUCAUUCGUGAGAAAGUCCGUGCUGAUCAUAAGAUUCAUG